rnacentral:rRNA from 1 species
GACGAACGCUGGCGGCGUGCUUAACACAUGCAAGUCGAACGGAAAGGCCUUUUCGGAGGUACUCGAGUGGCGAACGGGUGAGUAACACGUGGGUGAUCUGCCCUGCACUCUGGGAUAAGCCUGGGAAACUGGGUCUAAUACCGGAUAGGACCGCACUAUAGGGUGUGUGGUGGAAAGUUUUUUCGGUGUAGGAUGAGCCCGCGGCCUAUCAGCUUGUUGGUGGGGUAAUGGCCUACCAAGGCGGCGACGGGUAGCCGGACUGAGAGGUUGGUCGGCCACAUUGGGACUGAGGUGCGGCCCAGGCACCUACGGGAGGCAGCAGUGGGGAAUAUUGCACAAGGGGCGCAAGCCUGAUGCAGCGACGCCGCGGGGGGGAUGACGGCCUUCGGGUUGUAAACUCCUUUCGCCAGGGACGAAGCGUUUUGUGACGGUACCUGGAGAAGAAGCACCGGCUAACUACGUG